UACGUAGGGCGCAAGCGUUGUCCGGAAUUAUUGGGCGUAAAGAGCUCGUAGGCGGCCUGUCGCGUCUGCUGUGAAAUCCCGGGGCUUAACCCCGGGCGUGCAGUGGAUACGGGCUGGCUGGAGGCAGGCAGGGGAGAACGGAAUUCCCGGUGUAGCGGUGAAAUGCGCAGAUAUCAGGAGGAACACCGGUGGCGAAGGCGGAUCUCUGGGCCGAUACUGACGCUGAGGAGCGAAAGCGUGGGGAGCGAACAGG
rnacentral:rRNA from 1 species